rnacentral:rRNA from 1 species
GAUCAUGGCUCAGGAUGAACGCUGGCGGCGUGCUUAACACAUGCAAGUCGAACGAAGCAAUCUAACGGAAGUUUUCGGAUGGAAGUUAGAUUGACUGAGUGGCGGACGGGUGAGUAACGCGUGGGUAACCUGCCUCACACUGGGGGACAACAGUUAGAAAUGACUGCUAAUACCGCAUAAGCGCACAGGAUUGCAUGAUCUGGUGUGAAAAACUCCGGUGGUAUAAGAUGGACCCG